GUAGGAUGUUCAAACCCCAUUUAAAAUUCAUUUUCAUACUUUUCUGCACCAGUCGGACUAUUGAAGAUAGUCAUACGCAAUGCAGAGUGCUAUGACGGAAAUUUUCUAUGGACUGUGGCAGGGCGGAGGAUCUGGCAAGGGAUAAGGUAUAGUUGUUCGGGUCAUACGAAAAAUCAAGUCCUCAUGUACAUAUUGGCAUGCACGUAAAAGACACUCCGACAGUUGUAAUUCAAUAUCAGAGUAGGCCAUAUAGUGCCGCUAUCCGUGCAAAGUUUCCGUCAUAGUACACUGUAUAUAGUGUAUGCCUGUCUUCAUUAGCUCACUCAGAGCUUAAAUCAAUGUGUGUUGUUAAUGUCAUUUAAAAUGGCGGCUGUCUACAUAUACAAUAGGCGUUUUUGUGAACCGAUUAGAUUAGACCGAUUAGCUAUUAUACGCAUUUGUGAACCAAGUUGAUUAUGCUAAUCGUUACAUUUGUGAGACGAUUUAACUCAACUGAUUAGGCAAAUCGACCUAAUCGUCCCAGGAGGUGUUUAGGCGAUUAGAUUUGACGUUUUCAAAAUGGCGGAAUGUUCGACAUCGUAAGUAAUUUUUAAUGCUUAUUGUUGUUUUUCUCCAUAAAAAAUGUUUUUUUUAAAACGCAUUUGAUGUGUUUAAAGUAGCUAAGUCUCUAACUCAAUAUCAUCCAAAAUCUUCAACAUUGAAAACACGAUUUAUUUGUCAAAUUAUAUCAACAUUCAUGUUGUGAUCUUAACGGGAAAAGAUGGGCUUUUGAUAUCCAAUAUUUUAGACAAAAUAAACAUUUUACCAUUGGUACACGAAUCGUGUACCAUAAUGCGCUUCAGCCCUAGUUGUAUCAAGAGACUCGAGGGACGAGGCUAGACACAUUGCACCAAAUCAAACGGCGUAUGUAAACUGGAAUAACCAGACGCUAGAAAUUUGCACUCGCUUGAGACUGCUGGCUUAUUUCGCCGAACAUAACGGAUUUGAAAUUGGAGUAAAAACGGAAACCAUUGAAUGUAAAUCAGUUUAUAUACAUUCAUACUACAGUAUUAUAUGCAUUGCGACCCACUUUUGUCAAUUUCUAGGUCCCAAAUGUUAGCGAUUUAGCUCCUUUAAUGUUAACUUUAUAGUCCACAAGAAUGUUAGAUCACCUCUGGCUCUAAGCAAUUUUAGGCCCUCUGGGUGCCAGCAGUGUCACUGUAAUCUGUAGGUAACUUGGACUACACGUGAAACACACGCCCCCCUCGUCAUGUUACCAGAGACAAUUUUUUUUCUGAUCGGUGUCCGUGGUGGCAGCCAUCUUACCAAAUCGUAAUUAUCAAAUUUCACAUUUGUGGACCAUAGCUAAUCAAAUCGAAAUCAUACCAAAUCGUACUAGCAAAUCAAAACCUAAUCUAAUCGACUCACAAAAACGCCUAAUAUAUAAAAUAGGUCAUGAGUCGAUUGGUGCCGUUUUUUUAUUUCGAAUUUAAAAGUUCAACACUUAAUUAUACAAGUUGUAAAACCAUAUAAAAAUAAAGGUUGGACCAAGACUAGUUCCAUUUUUUUAAGUUAUGAAUCUGAAAAAUAGAUAAUAUAGAGCGAAGCUCUACAGCAUCGCGCGAAGCGCGGUGCUUGAGCAAAGCUCUUUUCCGGUAACACAGGAGCGUAAUUGAAAAUGUUACCCACAGACUGUUGAUUAAGAAAAAAUUCAGACCGAAACCGGAUACACUGGAGAAAACAGGCAAUGCGCAUGUCAACUUACCAAAUCUCGUCCAAGCAAGAUUACGCGCCUCAUAGAACUAUUUCUAUGAUGCGUCUAAUCAAUGACGUCACAUAUUUUUUACGUCAAUGAAAAUAAUUCUCACACUUUUUUGUUCUUUUUUUUAAAAACAAAAUUAAUGUAUAAAAUUUAGAUCUAAAUAAAAAUCAAUUUUGAAAAACUAAAUUAUUUAACAUUUUUUGUAUCACUUGAGAAAAUUAAUUAUGAAGGUUUUAUAUUUGACAAUAAUCAGCUUCGCUCUACUCAGGCAAUGCCUGUUACAUAUUAAUGACCCAGUCAAUUAACAUAGAGAUCUACUCUAGCUAAAAAAGUCCAUAUAUUUAUCGUCUCUCGAUAAAAGACCUAUCUCUGAAAAUUAAAAUUCCCCGAUUUGAUUAUUCUUUUAAUAUAACAUAAUUAUGUAACCUCAUAUAAAAUAUGGUAGAGCGUAUACAAACAAAUUAUAUGAAUAGAUUCAUUAUCAGAAAUAUUACAGGCCUUUCAAACGAACAGCCGCCAUUUUUAGAACUACAUAGAUGUAAAAAUAUAUUUUUAUCGACUCGGGCAAGGUCAAGGUCACGAUCUGUUCACGGUUGAUGAUUGUGUUUAAAUCGGUUUAUAUCAUAUUAUUUCUAUUCACAUUACAAUAUUUUUUUUAUAGGUUACGGUUAUUGUUGUUAUUUAUCUAAAUUGCUUCAAUUAUUUAUUAAAUAUUUUUUGUUUGUUCGUUUGACCGGAACGUACGGAAUUCUGGGAUUUAAAAUGGCGGCAUAAUGUAAUUAUUAUUUUUCCCAAAGAAGAAAUGAUGCCGUGAUUUAAAGUUAAAUAAAGCUAUUCCACACAUACACACACGAUUUUGGAUUCAGCAAAGUAAAGUUGAAGAUCCUACAUGUAUAUUUGAGCACCCUUGGUGGCAGUAAUGACAAAGAAGUUCUAAAAAGAUUUAUAUGGGCUUUAUAAUGAUAGUUAGACAACACUACUACUUGCCAAACACUACUACUUGUCACAUAACGUAAUGAUAUAAAUAUAUAUGUAUCUAUGGUAGCACAAAUAUCAUCAGAAUGUAGGCCAAAGCUUUACAAGCAUUGUAGGCCUAAAAUACUUUCUGUCUGAACUUUUGACAGUCAAUUCUUUGAUGACUAGUUAGUUUAGAGCAGAUAUCCUGUCACAGUAUUAUAUAACAGCUCUUUGGCUUAAAGUUUAAACUGAGUUGUAUCAGUGAGUUGAAAAUCAUCUGUGUUCCUGUUAUUGCUCCCUGCUGCAGCCAGUAAACAAUAACCAUUUGCGUUCCUUACAAAUCUUCCAAUUUUUACUGAUAGAUCAACCAUAGCAAAGAUCUCUAUUAAGAUUAUAUUUGUAAUGUUUGUAACAAAUUCUAUGACAUAGGUAUAAUAUUGGUGUAGUUAAGUAUAUACCAUAUUUAUGCACACAUUUCAAUGUUGGCAUAUUAUUAGUCUCUAUCAUCUAGAAAAAAAUAUUCUAUAUUCUACGAAUAUUAGUGUGGUUGCGUUGUCAACAUUUGAGAAUAAUCGGUCAUAGGCUAGAUUAUCCGGUCUUUUACAUUAUCAUAAACAAAGUCUAAGGAAGGUAACUAGUCCUAAAACAAGAUGUUGACGCCCAUGAAAUUUAUAUAAGAAUGCCAUUUCCGAAAGUCCAUUUGAUUGCAUUGUCAGUUCAAUAUCCAACACUCUUAAUUUUUUUUUAUUGUAAAAUUUCUCUCUUCAUGGGCCAUAUCUAUGUUGUUUUUUUUUAUUGAAUCCUAAUUCGUCAUCACGAUUCAUGUUUGUUUAUAAAUGCAAGUGUUAUUGACAACUGUCCCAGACCCUCAUUAUUUAUAUGGCCCAACUUUUCUUCGGCGUACACCGGCACGGUAUUAGACUAGGAUAACAGUCUCGAAACUCGUGGAGUUGAAAAACAUUAGUCUUAUAUACCGCCUCUACUUAAUUAUGGAUGUAGGUCGGAAAAAUGUAAAAUUUGGCAAUUUGACUUAUACUCAACAUCGACUUAUACCCUGUAUGGUAAUGUGAUGAUGCCCCCUCUUCCAGACAAGACAUAGGCUAUAACUGUUUCAAAUGACAAGUGCUAAAUGAAGUAUUUAUGUGGUCUUUGGUGAAAGAAAUGAAAUGAAAUGAAAUGGGGUUUAACGUCCUACUAUUCUGCUCCUAACCUGGGCCAAUGAAGACGAGCAUAUGCCAUACAGUGUGCUAUGAGGGAAAUUUUGCCUGGGCAGCGGGGCUACGGCCUACUCUUAUAUCGAAUUCCAACUGCCAAGGGAUCUUUUACGUGCACGCCAAUGUCUACACGGGACCUCAGUUUUUCGUCCCAUAACGACUAGACAGCUGUCCUUGUCAGUCCCUCCGUCCUGCAUCACUGACAAGGGAAACCACGCCGGAAAAUCAGGAUGAACUUACAGGGAUCGAACACCCGAUCUCCAGGCUAGCGAGCCAGCGUCUUACCCACUUAGCCACUUGAUCCCCCCCUUUGGUGAAAGAGAGAGAGAGAGAAAUGGGGUUUACCGUCCACUCGACACAAACUAGGUCAUUUCGGGACUAACAUAUGGUUUAAUUUUUUAUUUACAUAAUUCGCUUGCGCGUAGGGGUCUUUAGGAGUGGGAGGAAACCGGAGGACCCGGAGAAAACCCAUGAAGUUGGACAGGCGACCCUACUCCUUGCCACGUACAACUGGGGAUUCGAAACCACGCCAGUCGACUCAAUGACAGACUUUAUGAUACAGUGCGCGCACGCUAACCAUUCAGCCAUCCACCCCCCCCCCCCUUUGGUGAAAGAAAACAGAGCUGUGGCUAGUGAAAUGAAAGUUUAACGUCCUACUGUUUUGCUCUGAACUGGGCUAAUGAAGAUGGGCAUACGCCAUACAGUGUGCUAUGUGGGAAAUUUUGCCCGGACAGUGGCACUACGGCCUUCUCUUAUAUCGAAUUCUAACUUCAAGGGCUCUUGUACGUGCACGCCAAUGUGUACAUGGGACCUCAUUUUUUUGUCCUAUUUUAAUGACUAGACAGCUGUCUUGUCUAGCCCUCUGUCCUGCAUCACUGACAAGGGAGAACCAUGCCGGAAAAUCUGGAAUAACUUUCUCGGCCAAUGCAGGGAUCGAACACCCGACCUCCAGACUAGAUAGCCAGUGUCUUACCGACUUAACCAACGUGAUCCCCGUUGUGGCUACAAUUCCUGGAUUUGAAGGUCAGGUAUGAUAUGAAAUGAAUAUUUUGAACCGGUUCACCAAUGCAACCAAUCCGUGACGGGUUAACUGAUAGAGGGUUACAUCCUUGAUAUAAAUAUACUUGUCGCGGGUUUUAAAAAUAGAAAUAUAUAUAUAAAGGUAGCUCAAAAUUCAUCUCUACAUGUACAUAGGCCAAGGGGGGAUCAUGUGGCUAAGUGGGUAAGACGCUGACUCGCUAGCCUUGAGGUCGGGUGUUCGAUCCCUGCAUUGGCCGAGAAAGUUCAUCCUGAUUUUCCAGUGUGGUUUCCCAUUGUCAGUGAUGCAGGAUGGAGGGCCUGACAAGGACAGCUGUCUAGUCGUUUGGAUGGGACAAAAAAAAAACCAAGGUCCAGUGUACACAUUGGCAUGCACAUAAAAGAUCCCCUGGCAGUUGGAAUUCGAUACAAGAGUAGGCCAUAGCGUUGCUGCCUGGGCAAAAUUUCCCUUAUAGCACACUGUAUGGCGUAACCUUUUGCGUCUCUUCAAAAUAUUUCAAAUCUUUUGUCAUGGAUCAACCAUUGCAAAUAUCCGUGUUACAAUUAUAUUUGAAAUGUGUUAAACCAAUUCUGCAACACAUGUAAUAUUUGUGUAGUAUAUAUCUUUGUUUAUACACCCACAUAUCAAUUUUGGCCCUGUUUGUCCGUACACUGGGUGUGAAAUGUGAAUCAUUCCGAUUGUGAGAGGACAAGCAUUAUCAAUAUACAGCUUUUCAGGACUUUGCUUUCCUUGGUUAAUUCUCCCUUUUUCAAAUGCAAUAGAUGCUGUGUUUAUUCUUAAUUGAUCUUUUUCAAAUUUGUGUUACACACUGGAAUCAUGAGAGGCCGAAACCUAUCAAUAUUCAGCAUUCCACAACAUUCCAUUCCAGUGUCGGCCGAGAAAGUUCUUCGUGAUUUCCAGACUUGGUUUCCUCCCCUUGUCAGAGGUGCAGGACAGAGGGCCUGACAAGGAGGGACAGCUGUCUAGUCGUUUGGAUGGUACGAAUGACCGAGGUCCUGUGCACACAUUGGUGUGCACGUGAAAGAUCCCUUGGCAGUUUGAAUUCGAUAUAAGAGUAGGCUUUAGCGCCGCUGUCUGGAUAAAAUUCCAUAAUAGGACACUGUAUAGCAUAUUUCCAUGUCAUUAGCCCUGUCGGAAUAGGACAUUAAACCCCAUUUCAUUUCACUCAUUCCAAAGUUAACUCCUAUUCCAUCAAUACCUUGAGCAAAUAAGAUAGAGGCUAUAGGUUUUGGCCCAAUUUGGUCAAUAUCCCAGUUUUUUCUUUCUUAUAUGCAUAUCAGCACUUUCAUAGCGCUAAUGUAGACCUUUUUCUUGAACAUUUUCCCUUGUCAGUGAUGCCGGACAGAGGACCUGACAUGGAUGGCUGACUAGUCAUACGGAAGGGACCAAAAAAACAAGGUACAGUGUAAACUCAAGUGUGUGUGUGUGAAAGAUCCCUUGGCAGUUGGAAUUUUAUGUAAGAGUACGCCAUAGCUCUGCACACUGUGUGGCAUAUGCCCGUCUUCAUUUCUCAAACAGCUGUGGAUAAAAACUGUUAAUAUUUAAAUGUGUAUUUUGUAUUUUAUAACAUUAUAUUUUUGUCUUUUAAAUAAAGUAUAUGUAUACAUA